UACAUGGGGUGCAAACGUUGCUCGGAAUUAUUGGGCGUAAAGCGCACGUAGGCGGCUUGUUAAGUCGGAUGUGAAAUCCCUCGGCUCAACUGAGGAAGUGCAUCCGAAACUGGCAAGCUUGAGUACGAAAGAGGGUCGCGGAAUUCCCGGUGUAGAGGUGAAAUUCGUAGAUAUCGGGAGGAACACCGGUGGCGAAGGCGGCGACCUGGGUCGAUACUGACGCUGAGGUGCGAAAGCGUGGGGAGCGAACAGG
rnacentral:rRNA from 1 species